ensembl:ncRNA Y53H1C.4 ncRNA
GUGGCCGAACUCUAGGAAUUCUAGGCCAUCAGGCUAAAACCUAGGCCACCAACUGAAAAAUGGUAUAACUUGAUGGGAAAUCGAUAUUUUGGCGCCAACUAAAAG